UACGAGGGGGGCGAGCGUUGUUCGGAAUUACUGGGCGUAAAGCGCACGUAGGCGGCUUUGUAAGUUAGAGGUGAAAGCCCAGGGCUUAACCCUGGAAUUGCCUUUAAGACUGCAUCGCUAGAAUCGUGGAGAGGUGAGUGGAAUUCCGAGUGUAGAGGUGAAAUUCGUAGAUAUUCGGAAGAACACCAGUGGCGAAGGCGACUCACUGGACACGUAUUGACGCUGAGGUGCGAAAGCGUGGGGAGCAAACAGG
rnacentral:rRNA from 1 species